ACCCGNUGAACUUAAGCAUAUCAAUAAGCGGAGGAAAAGAAACCAACAGGGAUUGCCUCAGUAACUGCGAGUGAAGCGGCAAAAGCUCAAAUUUGAAUCUGUGUCCUUCCGGGCACAGAGUUGUAAUUNUGAGAUANGUUUUCGACCGACAGGCCUGCCUUAAGUCCCUUGGAACAGGGCGUCGCAGAGGGUGAGAAAUCCCGUGAACGGUAGGCCUCGAGGCUCUGAUACGUAUUCAACGAGUCGAGUUGUUUGGGAAUGCAGCUCAAAAUGGGUGGUAAAUUUCAUCUAAAGCUAAAUAUUGGGGAGAGACCGAUAGCGCACAAGUAGAGUGAUCGAAAGAUGAAAAGCACUUUGAAAAGAGAGUUAAAAAGUACGUGAAAUUGUUGAAAGGGAAGCGCUUGAGACCAGACUCAAUCUUUGUUGAUCAACUUCAGUUCUCUGUUGUGCACUCUUCAAUCUUUGGGACAGCAUCGGUUCUUGCGGAGGGACAAAGCCUCGGGAAAUGUGGCACUCUUCGGGGUGUGUUAUAGUCCCUUGGGGAAUGCCUCCAGCAGGGUCCGAGGACCGCGCUCCGGCUAGGAUGCUGUCAAAAUGGUCUUCAGCGACCCGUCUUGAAACACGGACCAAGGAGUCUNACAUCUGUGCGAGUGUUCGGGUGGAAAACCCUUGCGCGUAAUGAAAGUGAACGGAGGUGGGAAUCGUGAGAUGCNCCAUCGACCGAUCCUGAAGUAUUCCGAAGGAUUUGAGUAUGAGCAUAGCUGUUGGGACCCGAAAGAUGGUGAACUAUGCCUGAAUAGGGUGAAGCCAGGGGAAACUCUGGUGGAGGCUCGCAGCGGUUCUGACGUGCAAAUCGAUCGUCAAAUUUGGGUAUAGGGGCGAAAGAC
rnacentral:rRNA from 1 species